GCGCUACGAGUGACUCCAGGUGUGCUGAACAGACAGGCAGAAGAAUCCAGCACUAGCAUCAAUACUACUACACUAGAAGAGACCAAUGGAUGAACUAAAUGCAGAGGGCGAUGUCUUGGCCACUGGAUACUGAUGCGCAAAGUAGUUUUGAUGUACACUAUGCAGACCAGCACUACCCCACAGUGUACUAUACUUGAUGAUGAACACAGCUCUCCACAUGAAUCAACACUAACAGGAACCCAGAAAACAAGUAUGCUUAUCAACAAAUAUCUCUCGCCUCCUACGAAAGACAGUGCGUCCACUCCUGGUAGGGUGUGUCAGCUGGUGUUGUGAAUCACCUCUCUCCUUCUAUGAGAGGCAGUGUGUCCACUCCUGGUAGGGUGUGUCAGCUGGUGUUGUGAAUCAGGCCGCUACAGUGCUGAGAACGGCUACUUCACAACACCAGGGUUGCACCCUACUCCUGCCAGCAGCUUCAUACAGACCAACCCCAUUCAUCACUCCUGAGAGAUGCCAGCCUGAUGGUUCACAGUACUUGAAGCUUUCAUUCAAAGCCAGCAAGAGCACACAACGUUCCUAUUUCCAGAACAGUGUUGGUGAGCCAAGGGGACUAAGCUGCAAGCUUGACCUCCUCAAAUUACAGAGCACUCUAGUUCCACAAUAAUAAGUGUAGCAGUGUUCUCUGACAACUGGCUCAGUAAACUGCUCCCCCUGCUGCUUAUAGAUUAGAAAUCCUACUACAUCCAAAAUGUACAGAAGUUUUUAGGUUUCAUUGUUUUCUACUGAUAAAAUCAAAACUUUACUGUAUCUAAAUUAUAAUUAUUUAGUUUUACAGAUUUUCAUCUACAAUUUUUACAAAUAACAUCAAUCAAUUAUCAACACUGUUGGUGCAUACAAUUUUGAUAGAGACACCAUAGGCUUGAUAAAUGUGCUUUGAUACUACUGUAUAUUGCUUAACAUUCUUGUAUGGAUGUCCAUUAUUAAGUGUAAUUGUGAAGUUUAUAGAUGACUAAUUGAAAUGCACCAAAUUGCAACAGCUUUAUGAAUAUCUUGUCUGUCAACAAUACUUAUCUGGAAAAUUGGAUAAAUCCAGUAUU